rnacentral:lncRNA from 1 species
GGGACAUGGAUUUGGGGCUCUGCAAAGAGGGGAGCCGAAUGUGAGACUGUUGAAUAAAGUGAGGUCUCUCAAAGGGAACAGAAGCAGAAAGGUCUCCCACUAGCACAGAACUCAGCCAGAAAAGCUCCUAUGAAACCCAAGAGAGCUCCUACACAGAGAAGGAGAAGCAAGCACUUAAGCCAGCAGUUAAUGCCUGCAAGUUGGUCACCAUGGAAACAACACCACAAGAAAAUCUCCCUCCACUACCUCAUUCUUUAAUAUCUGAAAUUUUAAAUUUACAAAAUUAAGAUACAAAGAAUCAAUCAUGAAGCUG